UACGGAGGGUGCGAGCGUUGUCCGGAAUCACUGGGCGUAAAGGGCGCGUAGGCGGCGCGGGUAGUCAUCGGGUGAAAGUUCAGGGCUCAACUCUGAAUCGGCCGGUGAUACUCCCGUGCUCGAGCACUGUAGAGGCAGGUGGAAUUCCGGGUGUAGCGGUGGAAUGCGUAGAGAUCCGGAAGAACACCGGUGGCGAAGGCGGCCUGCUGGGCAGUAGCUGACGCUGAUGGCGCGACAGCGUGGGGAGCAAACAGG
rnacentral:rRNA from 1 species